GACGAACGCUGGCGGCGUGCUUAACACAUGCAAGUCGAGCGAUGAAGCACCUUCGGGUGUGAAUUAGCGGCGAACGGGUGAGGAACACGUGAGAAAUCUGCCUUCAACACUGGGAUAACUCCGGGAAACCGGGGCUAAUACCGGAUAUGAGCCUUAAUCGCAUGAUCGGGGCUGGAAAGUUUUUCGGUUGAAGAUGACUUCGCGGCCUAUCAGCUUGUUGGUGAGGUAAUGGCUCACCAAGGCGACGACGGGUAGCCGGCCUGAGAGGGCGACCGGCCACACUGGGACUGAGACACGGCCCAGACUCCUACGGGAGGCAGCAGUGGGGAAUAUUGGGCAAUGGNGGAAACUCUGACCCAGCGACGCCGCGUGAGGGAUGAAGGCCUUCGGUUGUAACCUCUUCUAGUAGGAAGAAGCGAAAGUGACGGUACCUACAGAAGAAAGCACCGG
rnacentral:rRNA from 1 species